UACGGAGGGUGCAAGCGUUAUCCGGAUUUACUGGGUUUAAAGGGUGCGUAGGCGGAAUUGUAAGUCAGUGGUGAAAGCCUGCAGCUUAACUGCAGAAUUGCCAUUGAUACUGCAAAUCUUGAGUACAUUUGAUGUGGGCGGAAUGUGUCAUGUAGCGGUGAAAUGCUUAGAUAUGACACAGAACACCGAUUGCGAAGGCAGCUCACAAAACUGUAACUGACGCUGAGGCACGAAAGCGUGGGGAUCGAACAGG
rnacentral:rRNA from 1 species